rnacentral:rRNA from 1 species
GACUAACGCUGGCGGCGUGCCUAACACAUGCAAGUCGAACGAAGCAGCAAUGCUUAGUGGCAGACGGGUGAGUAACGCGUAGAUAAUGUGCCCUCUUGCGGGGGAUACCGUUUCGAAAGGAACGUUAAUACCGCAUAAAGUCCUUGGGAGGCAUCUCCUAGGGACCAAACUUCCGGGGCGGGAGGAGCAAUCUGCGUACUAUCAGGUAGUUGGUGAGGUAACGGCUCACCAAGCCUACGACGGUUAACUGGUCUGAGAGGAUGAUCAGUCACACUGGAACUGAGACACGGUCCAGACUCCUACGGGAGGCAGCAGUGAGGAAUAUUGCGCAAUGGGCGAAAGCCUGACGCAGCGACGCCGGGCUGGAGGAUGACGGUCUUCGGAUUGUAAACUCCUGUCAGUAGGGAAGAGAAUGGACGGUACCUACUGAGGAAGCUUCGGCUAACUACGUGCCAGCAGCCGCGGUAAU